rnacentral:tRNA from 1 species
GGAUUAAAGUUUUUAUAACAUUUAAUUUGCACUUAAAAAAAACUAAAUUUGUUAAUCUG